AAACCUAGUGGGAAACACUGCGCACACACUGGACUGUCUCCUCACACACUGGACUGUCUCCUCACACACUGGACUGUCUCCUCACACACUGGACUGUCUCCUCACACACUGGACUGUCUCCUCACACACUGGACUGUCUCCUCACACACUGGACCGUCUCCUCACACACUGGACUGUCUCCUCACACACUGGACCGUCUCCUCACACACUGAACUGUCUCCUCACACACUGAACUGUCUCCUCACACACUGGACUGUCUCCUCACACACUGGACUGUCUCCUCACACACUGGACUGUCUCCUCACACACUGGACUGUCUCCUCACACACUGGACUGUCUCCUCACACACUGGACCGUCUCCUCACACACUGGACUGUCUCCUCACACACUGGACUGUCUCCUCACACACUGGACUGUCUCCUCACACACUGGACUGUCUCCUCACACACUGGACUGUCUCCUCACACACUGGACUGUCUCCUCACACACUGGACCUUCUCCUCACACACUGGACUGUCUCCUCACACACUGGACUGUCUCCUCACACACUGGACUGUCUCCUCACACACUGGACUGUCUCCUCACACACUGGACUGUCUCCUCACACACUGGACUGUCUCCUCACACACUGGACCGUCUCCUCACACACUGGACCUUCUCCUCACACACUGGACCGUCUCCUCACACACUACUCUAAAAGAGCAACAGGCUGUUCCUUUAGUUUACAGUCCACAGUUGAUUUACCUUAGUUUGCGUUUUGUAAUAGAUUCAGUAGUAGUUGUUGUAGUUGUUGAAGUAGUAGUUGUUGCAGUCGUUGUUGUAGUAGCAGUGGUAGUAGUAAUAGUUGUAGUAGUUGUUGUAAUAGUUGUAGCAGUAGCAGUGGUAGUAGUUGUUGGAGUAGUAAUAGUUGUAGUAGUUGUUGUAAUAGUUGUAGCAGUAGCAGUGGUAGUAGUUGUUGGAGUAGUAAUAGUUGUAGUAGUUGUUGUAAUAGUUGUAGCAGUAGCAGUGGUAGUAGUUGUUGGAGUAGUAAUAGUUGUAGUAAUAGUUGUAGUUGUAAUAGUUGUUGUUGUAGUAGUAGUUGUUUUUGUAGUAGUAGUUGUAGUUGUUCUUGUAGUUGUUGUUGUAGUAGUAGUAGUUGUUUUUGUAGUAGUAGUUGUAGUUGUUCUUGUAGUUGUUGUUGUAGUAGUAGUAGUUGUUUUUGUAGUAGUAGUUGUAGUUGUUCUUGUAGUUGUUGUUGUAGUAGUAGUAGUUGUUUUUGUAGUAGUAGUUGUAGUUGUUCUUGUAGUUGUUGUUGUAGUAGUAGUAGUUGUUUUUGUAGUAGUAGUUGUAGUUGUUCUUGUAGUUGUUGUUGUAGUAGUAGUAGUUGUUGGAGUUGUUUUUGUAGUAGUUGUUGUUGUAGUAGUAGGAAACUCAGCAAAAAAAUAA
rnacentral:lncRNA from 1 species